GUUCUACAAUUAUUAUUUAUAAAUACACUAGUACAAAUGAAACGAACAUGGCUGAUUUUGAAUUCGAGCGAAAUGAAUCCAAACUUGCGUGCGAGCUUGCAUGCAAAGCAGCAAGAUCAAGAUGGAUUCCGUCGGAUUCUCUCUGCUCGUGACCGUCUGGAGAGAAAUCGCGGACUUCGUGACCUAGCCUCUCCCAUGGAAACUGCAACUCAUGCAGCUUCCCUUGUUCGAUGCAAGGUCAAGAUCAGGGGUAGGGCCUUAAGUGGUUAUGCCAUGAGCUGAGCGAGAAGGCAGAUAUAAUUGGGCGGUAGAGCAAGUAGUCACAUCACUAGCCGGUCCCGGGGUCAAGGGUAGGAAGACACGAGCGACAGACUUGCACUCGGCUUGCCGAUUACAAGUCCCCGUAACCGAACGUACAAACACUCACCUUAGGUCUGAGGGCACACGGAAGGACUCGGUCAUUUCAACCGUGACAGUGAAAGUGACCGGAUAGGAGUUCUUGGUUUUGCUUCGCGUCUUUCAGUUUUCAAGUCCAAGAUAGGAACAAGUAGUGCCAGUGUGCGAACGUGUGCCGUGUGCGUUAAGAAGGAGAACCCCAGGUAAAUUGGAACCCUUUGAAUCCCCUCAAUCCCCGGAUUUCCAACUCACGGCCAUGGAACAGUCGUUCGGCGGCCCUCUUACUCCCCGAUAGAACUGGUGCGUCGGCACCCGCACUGCUGGUGUUCCAGCAUCCCCGUCCGUGCCCGCAGGAUCCACUUUCCAUCGUCCCGGUUGAAAAACCCCCCCGGUAGGACGCCGUCCGGAAGAGGGCUGCGCACGUUACCAUCGCGCCCUGAACACGCCCAUCCACCACGCGCGUGACCAACUUACACCCAUUUGCGCGUCGGCCAGCUAACCCCGCCGAGAGCGCCGUGAGCAGGACGCCCACCUGGCGUCGACCUUCAUCGGAGAGCGCGUGAACUAAGUUCAUCGCGCCACGCGGAUAGAUAUCGAGUUGCCGCCGGAAGCCGGCAGGCACGACGCUGAGGCGUCUCGAGAGAAGCAGCACACCGAGUCGAGAGAAGAGCAGCAUUGAGCGUCAGGAGCAUCGCCGAGCGUCGCAGAGCAUCCCGGGAGUUCACCGAUCGUCGCACCACGUGCGGUCCCCGUUCCUGUGAGAGAGGUUAGGUUGCAAACCGCCUAACCAAGCAG